rnacentral:piRNA from 1 species
UGUCUUAUUGUUAUAAAAAUGGCUAUC